rnacentral:misc_RNA from 1 species
UUUCCGUAGGUGAACCUGCGGAAGGAUCAUUAUUGUAUAACCGAGGUGCGAGGGCUGUCGCUGACCCGAAAGGUCGUGCACGCCCGAGUGCCCUCACACACAUCCAUCUUACCCCUAUGUGCACCACCGCGUGGGUCCCCAUUUGGCUUGUUCGGAGGGGGGCUUACGUUUUCACACAAACUUUGUAUGCAGUGUAGAAUGUAUUUUUUGUUUUUGCGAUCACGCAAUCAAUACAACUUUCAACAACGGAUCUCUUGGCUCUC